UACGUAGGGGGCAAGCGUUGUCCGGAUUUAUUGGGCGUAAAGAGCGUGUAGGCGGCCAGACAGGUCAGCUGUGAAAACUCGAGGCUCAACCUCGAGACGUCGGUUGAAACCGUCUGGCUAGAGUCCGGAAGAGGAGAGUGGAAUUCCCGGUGUAGCGGUGAAAUGCGUAGAUAUCUGGAGGAACACCGGUGGCGAAGGCGGCGUCCUGGACCAACACUGACACUGAAAAGCGAAAGCCAGGGGAGCAAACGGG
rnacentral:rRNA from 1 species